CUCACUGAGCUGUUGAGAGGUUAGAUGGUUUAAUAAUGUAAAACAGUGUACUGCGUGACACAGUGCCUAAUGAAUAUUAGUUUUAAUAUUAUUACUAUUAUCAUCCACCUAUAAUCCAAAUAGAAACUUGGAAAGUCAUUAUUUACUUUUUUAUACCCCAGCUCCAAUAGAUCAAGUUCUAGCCAUUUUAAUUUCCAAAUAAUUUUUAAAUCUAUCUCAUCUCAUAUUCACUGCCACCAAAUAUGACCUUCCUUAUUAAUGGACUCCUAACUGUAUCCUUUCUUAUAUUAUGUCAUUCAUGUCAUGUCAUUCAAACAUUUGUUGUGCUCCAUCUAUGUGCCUACUGCUGGACAUGGGAACAGAGACACCAUUACAAUCUCUAGCACAAAGAAUCAGACACAGUGCAGGAGACAAAUAUGUCAAUAACAACUAAGUGGAAUCAAUAAACUCAACGUGCAGCAAACUACUCAGGUUCCCCAAUCUUGCCACACUCUCUCUGUCAUCUUGCUUUUGCGUAUGCUGCUCCUUUUCCUUGUUACAUCCUGAACCUCCACCUCUUCCUUACCUACCUAAUUCCUGCUUAUCCUUUAUUAUGCAACCCAGGUAUCAAUUCCGUUGUCAACCCUUCCGCGUGGCUUGUCACCCAGCCCUGUCCUACCCACACACCCGUAAGAGGAUUUCCCAUCCAUACCUGGGGCCAGAAAACAAAGGAGAUGAGUGGAAAUAUCUAGAAAUUGAACAAAUCAUUCUAAGGACAGAAGUAUACUGCUCAGAUCCUAAAACAUGUACAAAGGUUGCCAAAAGCAGCUCAGAUUGAAGACAAAUUGUGUGGGAGAAAGGAGAGAGAAGAAGCAGAGACGAACUCAGCAGCAAGAAGGCCCAGCUUAGACCUUGCUAAGCGAACGUCUAACUCCUAAAGCCAGUGUGUUGGAUGCAAUCGUUGAGCACCUUCGCAGACCGUGACCACUGCCUUCGCUGAGCUCCCUGAGGUGGCUGAAGUUCAAGUUGGUACCCUGGGCCUGCAUAGCCUUUACUUCCUCCACGAUGGGCCCUGUUUGGCAUUACAUCGUCAUCCUAGAUUUGGAUGAAAUGCCACACUGUGGAGCAUGGGAACUGGCUUACUGAAUGGCUGCCAAGGGCCGAAAACAGGAUCCAGGCCAAGAACACAAGCAUACUGGAUACUGAGGCUGCAUCUACAUUUUUGCUCCCAGAUGGUUCAGAUGAUCAGCCAGCAUGCUCCAAUCCUCUCUCUCUUCCUUGUUACCACCCAUCACAAUUUCCCUAAUGUGUGUUUUUCCCCCGGACGUGCUCACUACUAUUAUUGUAAUGACUGCAUAAGACUAACACUCUGAUAUUUGCGGAGUGCUUUGUGUUGAGGUGUCGGAUGUAUGAGCAGAGCAUUUUCACGUGCAGUGGCCAUUGCUGCCCCAAGGGACCGCGAGGGAGGUCUCAUUUUCCUUUUUGUUCUCCUGAAGAUGCUGAACGCUGGGGAAGCCGAGUCCUUUGCCCAGGGCCAGGCAGCUGGUAAGAGCAGAGUCCGCAUGCGGAUCCUCCCAGCUCCUGAGCUGUGCUGUUUCCCCUGUCCUUGUGUGCUCUCCUGUCCAGAUAAGAAUUUGAAUUAUUUCGAUAACAUUUCCUUAUAACUCUAAUGGUGGAAAUGCCAGGCGCCAGAGUGGGCCGACAGAAAAGAACCCUGUGCCAGGUGUGUCUUCAGUAUCUUAAAUCAACUGGGUAGGUUUUCUGUUCCACCUUCAGGUAGAGCCAGAGCUGUCAGGCUCACUAUCAAGUCAUAGAUGACUAAUUUAGGCUCUCGAAUACAGCCUGUGGGCCGUGUUUGUUGGCAACUGGGCUGCUGCUGGCUUGUCCCCCUUACGUUCUGGGUGUGGGGAGCCACACACAUUCCCUCCACUCAGGAGUCAGCAUCCAGAUGGUACCGCUCUUUCCUCCCCUCUCCCCACAUCUGAGGUCCCUAGUGUGGCCGUGUAACUUAUUGUCCAAACCAGAGCAAUAUGGGAGAAACAGAGGGCACUCUGAAUAAUUGUGGCUGGACAACAGGUGCGAGCCAGGAUUGCCCUGGGUCAGCCAGGCCCCUGCUCAUCACCACCAGACAAGGGGUGAGAGCUUUCAAGGAAACAACUGACCGAACUAACGUUUGUCUUCCUCCCUUGGUCUGCUUCUGAUAAAGGUUCCAGUGCACACAAACUUCUCCUUACGUCACACCAAAAAGAGGAUUCCUGAGAGGGUGCAUGCAAUAGAAUGCAUAGGAAAGCUUGCUCAUGAAGGAAACGGAAUUCUUUGGAAAUGAAAAAAAAAAAAAAAAAAAAAAAAAAAAAAAAAAAA